GUGCUUCUUGCAACCACUUCUCUUGCUGAUCUUUCAGGGGAUGAUUCCUCUGUGGGUGAUCACACUUGGAAACAUAAGCCACCAAGGAAACAUUGGCCUCCUAUGACAACAAAAAAUGAGGUUCCAAAAAAGGAACAAACAAUCCCACAAAACAAACUAUCACAAGAGGAGCAUACUAUAGUCGAGGAGAGUCACGAUCACGAUCACGAUCACGAUCACGAUCACGAUCACCACCACCACCAUCCAGGGAAGAAGCACCCCCCUUCCAAAAAUUA
rnacentral:lncRNA from 1 species